rnacentral:lncRNA from 1 species
CUAGGUAACACAAUCUACUCUAUACGCAGUUUUAUGUUUUGCGGAUUUUUGCGCACCAAUCUUCGCACGACGACGAACAUCUUUUUGGGAAUCGGGGAUUUUGUUUUUCUUGUUCUUCCGCUGCGCAUGUGAUGUCGCCCCCAUGAUUUCCCAACAGUGGUAUCAGAGCCAGGUUGUUCGUGCGAAUGAUUGGUUUUGAACUGCGUGUGUUGUGUUUAGGAAGAAUAUUGACGUCAAAAUCGUUGACGCAAAAGCGAGAAAGGGCAGCAAUAGUUGCUGCCCUC